GGGGAAUUUUUCGCAAUGGGCGCAAGCCUGACGAAGCAACGCCGCGUGGAGGAUGAAGGCCUUCGGGUCGUAAACUCCUGUCGACCGGGACGAAAGCAGUCCGACCCAAUAAGUCGGGCUGUUGACUGUACCGGUAGAGGAAGCUCCGGCUAACUCUGUGCCAGCAGCCGCGGUAAUACAGAGGGAGCAAGCGUUGUUCGGAAUUACUGGGCGUAAAGGGCGCGUAGGCGGUCUGCUAAGUUCCGUGUGAAACCCCUCGGCUCAACUGAGGAACCGCACGGGAAACUGGCAGACUUGAGUUUGGGAGAGGGAAGCGGAAUUCCGGGUGUAGCGGUGAAAUGCGUAGAUAUCCGGAGGAACACCGGUGGCGAAGGCGGCUUCCUGGACCACGACUGACGCUGAGGCGCGAAAGCUAGGGGAGCAAAC
rnacentral:rRNA from 1 species